rnacentral:tRNA from 1 species
GCCAGCGUAGCUCAAUCGGCAGAGCAACCGCCUUGUAAGCGGUAGGUCAGGGGUUCGAUUCCCCUCGCUGGCU